rnacentral:rRNA from 1 species
GACGAACGCUGGCGGCGUGCUUAACACAUGCAAGUCGAACGGAAAGGCCCUGCUUUUGUGGGGUGCUCGAGUGGCGAACGGGUGAGUAACACGUGAGUAACCUGCCCUUGACUUUGGGAUAACUUCAGGAAACUGGGGCUAAUACCGGAUAGGAGCUCCUGCUGCAUGGUGGGGGUUGGAAAGUUUCGGCGGUUGGGGAUGGACUCGCGGCUUAUCAGCUUGUUGGUGGGGUAGUGGCUUACCAAGGCUUUGACGGGUAGCCGGCCUGAGAGGGUGGCCGGCCACAUUGGGACUGAGAUACGGCCCAGACUCCUACGGGAGGCAGCAGUGGGGAAUAUUGCACAAUGGGCGGAAGACUGAUGCAGCAACGCCGCGUGCGGGAUGACGGCCUUCGGGUUGUAAACCGCUUUCGCCUGUGACGAAGCGUGAGUGACGGUAAUGGGUAAAGAAGCACCGGCUAACUACGUG